UGACAGGGAGAAAUUCCUCCUCACCUAUGGUCCAUCGGCUGAUCUGGAAGCUGAACCCUUGGAAUAAAGACACCUGCAUGCUAGUAUUUGCAAAAGGAAUGGAAAAGAACCCUUAAAUAUGACCACCACAAAUUAUCCAAAGAAUAAGAAUGGCAACAGCAAAACUAUAUUACAAGGUAUAAGUAAUACCUACAACGAGUAUAAAAGACCAGGCUAAGAAAAGGGAGUGACUACCUCUAGAUGGGGAAAUACAGAAAAAGAGAAAUACAGACAAAUUAUCUGCUUGACAUGACAUUCUUUGGAUCUUAUCAGCUCAGACAGCAUGGGCUAAUGUUCUACUGAAAUGAUCUUUUUCAAAGAGGCAUAAACCAUAGUCUUCCAAAGAGAGGCUGCUGUGGACACUCUGGAGAAUUUAUAGAAAAAAUGCCCAGGGAAAUUCCUCAACGGAAGCAUGUGUGAAUCCAGGUACCAUCUGCCCAUGAGGCCCAGCCUGUCAAGACAACCACAAUCAGCACAGACCACACCAUCCUGAGGAGACCCUCAGACUACCCUGCCCCAAGUCUGCUCUGCCAAGGAAAACAGAAGCUCCGUGAGUGCAUGGCUUGUGUCCUCUUA